UACGGAGGGUGCAAGCGUUAUCCGGAAUCAUUGGGUUUAAAGGGUCCGUAGGUGGACCUUUAAGUCAGUGGUGAAAUUCUGCGGCUCAACCGCAGGACUGCCAUUGAAACUGAAGGUCUUGAAUUGUCGUGAAGUGGCCGGAAUAUGUGGUGUAGCGGUGAAAUGCAUAGAUAUCACAUAGAACACCGAUUGCGAAGGCAGGCCACUAACGAUAUAUUGACACUGAUGGACGAAAGCGUGGGGAGCGAACAGG
rnacentral:rRNA from 1 species